rnacentral:lncRNA from 1 species
AAGAACCCCCUCAUCUAGGUAAAUGAGUUAAGAAAACCCCCUCUCCCAAAAAUAAUUAGAGAAAACCCCCUAGCUAAUAUUCCACCCAAAUAUUAUUUUAGUAAUUCCAAAACUACCCUUAAUUGUUCAAUAUACUCUUUUAAAACCCUAAUCUCAUUUUUCAUAUCUAAUUCUCCAUUAUCGUCAAUAUCUUCUCUUCCAUGAAGAUUAUUCUCAAGUGUUCUGUAAUCAAUUGAUGCCUGGUCGUCAAUUGAUGAUUACAAUCUGAAUUGCAGCAACGGCGGCGGAGGCAAUUUGAAUGUGCAGUCUUUGAACGACGGAGAUCUGUCGUCGACUUCGCUGAAUCUGUCGAUCGGAAGUAGGGUUAAGGAGUCGGUAUGGUUCGCAGGUGGGGGCCCACUCGGAGAGGCGCUUUCGUCGCCGGCGGCGACCACUGUUUCUUCGCCGUCGGGUGUUCUUGAUCAGAGGACGAUGUUUUCGCACUCCGAUGGUGGCAGUGUUUGCAAUAGCCCUACUGCUUUUGCUGCAAAUGCUCCACUCCACCGGUCCAAUUACAACUCCCUUUAAUUUUCUUUAUUAUUAUUAAUAAUUUAAAUAUCGGUUUUUUUUUUUUUAAUUUGAUUUAUGGGGAUUUUGUGUUUUGUUUUAGAUUAAACAGAAAGUAGGUGGUCCAUUUUAAAACAUCGCGCAGGGGAUUAAACAGAAAGUAGGUGGUCCAUUGUAGCGGAAGACGGUGUAGAAAAAAAAAAUCGCGCAGACAUAAAACCAUCAUAAUAUCAAAGUAAGGUGAUGAUGGUGUGUUGUGACGGCGGUGUGGUGACGAUGGGGAUGCAGAUUUAGGAUUUUUUGGUGGAUUAACGAGAUGAAGGCGCGUGUAGAGAAUUUCGCGCAUACUGUUACCUUAAUCGACUAUGUACAUGUUCAUAGUCGAUUAAGCUAAUCGACUAUGCUCUGGUAGUCGAUUAAGGUUCAUCGACUCCAAUUUUUUUUAUUUUUUUUGGAUUUUUUGUUUAUUGCUUUCAAUUGUAUAAAUCAUUUAUAAUAUUUGUAUAUGUUUUUGUUUUUG